GAUGAACGCUGGCGGCGUGCCUAAUACAUGCAAGUCGAGCGAACGGACGAGAAGCUUGCUUCUCUGAUGUUAGCGGCGGACGGGUGAGUAACACGUGGAUAACCUACCUAUAAGACUGGGAUAACUUCGGGAAACCGGAGCUAAUACCGGAUAAUAUUUUGAACCGCAUGGUUCAAAAGUGAAAGACGGUCUUGCUGUCACUUAUAGAUGGAUCCGCGCUGCAUUAGCUAGUUGGUAAGGUAACGGCUUACCAAGGCAACGAUGCAUAGCCGACCUGAGAGGGUGAUCGGCCACACGGGAACUGAGACACGGUCCAGACUCCUACGGGAGGCAGCAGUAGGGAAUCUUACGCAAUGGGCGAAAGCCUGACGGAGCAACGCCGCGUGAGUGAUGAAGGUCUUCGGAUCGUAAAACUCUGUUAUUAGGGAAGAACAUAUGUGUAAGUAACUGCGCACAUCUUGACGGUACCUAAUCAGAAAGCCACGGCUAACUACGUG
rnacentral:rRNA from 1 species